UACGAAGGGGGCGAGCGUUGUUCGGAUUUACUGGGCGUAAAGGGCGCGCAGGCGGCGUAUCAAGUCAGGCGUGAAAGCCCCGGGCUUAACCUGGGAGGUGCGUCUGGGACUGGUGUGCUAGAGUUCGGGAGAGGAGAGUGGAAUUCCCAGUGUAGAGGUGAAAUGUGUAGAUAUAUUGAAGAACACCAAUAACGGCGAAGGCAGUUAACUAUUCUGUUACUGACGUUGAGGCACGAAAGCGUGGGGAGCAAAAAGG
rnacentral:rRNA from 1 species